rnacentral:lncRNA from 1 species
AAGCGCUCCCAAGUAGCCCUGAUUCAACCCAGCUUCUCAGCAUCCUCAUGGGGCCAGACAGACACAGUCUUCACCCUCUGAGCUUGCUGGUAGCCAUUGCAAGGCUGUCUGAGGUCAUCCUGGUGGGGCUUGGUGAGCUGCUCUGUGUACUCCCAGAGGAAUGGAGGGGAGCUCUUCCUUCACCCCAAGAUGCCUCAGCCAGUAGUGAGCAGAACAGCCACUUCCUGUCCCAGAGCAGUGGCCUAAGGGACAGCUGUAUCUGACAGGCGAGGAGCUAAGACUGGACCUGUGGCUCAUGCUCCCCAUUAUCCUGUCCCAAGCCCCUGGCCUACCUGGGUUCUGAACCCAGCACCUUCAUCCCCAGGAACUCUGAUACACACACACACACACACACACACACACACACACACACACACACACACACGUCAUAUGCUAAAGUCUAUUUUGGAAUUUGUAAAUGUCCCUUGCAGUAGGAAACAGAGCUAAUUUAUCAUUGUAUCUCCCAAGUCUCCCCUUUUUAUAUUCUAUAUUAAGAGAAAUUUUGUAAUAUAAAACAGGACACCACGC